CUUCUCUCAAAACCAUUCUCCAUCAAAACAGAUCUCUGCCAACUUCUUUCUCCAAGAUGAAAGAGGGCCGAGAUUGAGGUACAGGAAAAUAGAACCAUGGUGUGCCUAGGAGACUGAAUGAACUACAUCAGUGAUCAGUCUGGGAAUUAAAAGCCAUGGGAAUUCUGGCAGAGUUCUAGAAUGGAGGGAGCAGAGCUGCAACAGAGCUGAAGAGAAGAGGACUUUGAUGAAGAAAAGUUAUUACAGCUUUCAAGACUACAGCCAAAGAGUCAAUCGCAAGAGGUAA
rnacentral:lncRNA from 1 species